ensembl:lncRNA
UAUGACCUGGAGUGUAGCCAGGGCCUGGAUCCUUCAGACUUGACAAUCAGCAUUCCAGCAGUACACGUAAUGAAACAGCAUUGGCCAAUAGGAGAGGCUCACAGAGUAUAUAGGGUAGGCAGCCUCAGUAAGUCAGGAAAAAAAAAAAAAAAAAAAAAAACAAUGGAAAUGUUAAGUGCAGCAAAAAUUCUUCUUUUCUCACAAUUCAUUUCAUUUUAUAGACAGAAAAGAAGGGUGAUUGUCUAUUUUAACUUAUUUAAUAUUGUUUUUUCUCCAGUUGCUCUAUAUAUUUUCAGCCAUUUGUUUACUUUUGUUCAUCUGCUUUCUUCUUGCACAUCAGUGGAGUAAAACCUCUGGACCCACGAUUCAAAAAUCGUGUCUGGUGGUGUCACCUUUCACUGGUCCAAUCACCAAAAACAUAAUUAAAAAAACGUGCCUUCCUCAGCAACUCACUGCUGAUCAAGAACAACUACAAGAAACUGCGAAAUAUGCAGUAGAUACUGUGUCUGGAUUCCUGGAAACAGUACAGUACAAAACUGACCAAAAGAAUUGGCUCAUGAAGAACUUGACCAGAAGAAUUCAGUGAAUUAUUCAAGUGAAUAAUUUCACUUGAAGUUUUUUUUCUUUAAAUAAACUUUUUAUAUUUUUUUAAUCAAACUGUGUGCUGUUAUUCCUCCCUUAUAAAACACGUGCUGCUGGUGUUUAUACAUUUGAAGUAAAUUAAGUGUGUAAAGUGGUUUGAGGACCCACCAAAUGAAAUGAAAUCAAUUUUAAACUCUGUUUUGAGCUGCCACACUCUAAAUUCUACUUAAUUAACAUUACUAAGAAAAACUGUGCAAACCAAGAGCCUUUAAAAAAACUGUACAGGAAAUGUAUGUUGUAAUACAUUUCCUGCUUCAGCAGAAAGCCAGCAUCAUCAUCAUUAAAGACCCCUCGCACCCUGGACACUCACUUUUUUCCCCCCUUCCCUCUGGUAA